GUUACCCCCGUUUAUUUUUAGCUUGAGAUUCGGGGCUGAAAGCUGGAAUGAAAAUGAGGGGAUUUGUGCCGUAAGCGGCGCGGAUGUGUUUACGUGGGGUGGCUGCUGCGGCGGCAGUGCGGCACUGGGCUGUGCUGGGCGGGGCUGUGCUGUGUGCGGCCGCUUUGGUCUCUCCUGAGAUUCGGUGCUUCGUCCGUGGGAGGGAGGCGCUGCGCUCGGCUGUUUGGCCGUCUCCGGCUCAAGCUGAACGUGGGCUCGAAACGCAGAGAUCAGCGGAGCAGCGAACUGAGAGCGGGGCGGGCACCGCCGGCGGAGGGGUGUCAGUGCUGUGCCACCGCUGCGGGUGUGAGCCUGGCGGGCGGCAAGCCGAGGAAAUUGCCUUGGAAGCCGUGUAAGGUGCUCAAAGGCUGCUCUACCGUUGGAACCAAAAUUAACUUUUUGGAAUGGAAAUGACACCGUCGUGCUGGAAUUUACAAUGAAGCUGUGAAUGUAGCCGGAGCCCUGGGCUUCGCCGGGAGAAGGCCCCCUCGGCUGGCUUUAUUCAGCUCUAAUGAGGGGCCUGAGUUCGCCGUGAAAGGCGUGCUUUGCAUUUGGCCCCUUUCCUCCAUCAAUUGCUGUCAGCGUAACAGAAGGCCCCGCGCAGCUCCCCCGCCCCGUGCGCCCCUCCGGG
ensembl:lncRNA